rnacentral:rRNA from 1 species
AGGGAAACCGAGUCUUAACUGGGCGUUAAGUUGCAGGGUAUAGACCCGAAACCCGGUGAUCUAGCCAUGGGCAGGUUGAAGGUUGGGUAACACUAACUGGAGGACCGAACCGACUAAUGUUGAAAAAUUAGCGGAUGACUUGUGGCUGGGGGUGAAAGGCCAAUCAAACCGGGAGAUAGCUGGUUCUCCCCGAAAGCUAUUUAGGUAGCGCCUCGUGAACUCAUCUUCGGGGGUAGAGCACUGUUUCGGCUAGGGGGUCAUCCCGACUUACCAACCCGAUGCAAACUGCGAAUACCGAAGAAUGUUAUCACGGGAGACACACGGCGGGUGCUAACGUCCGUCGUGAAGAGGGAAACAACCCAGACCGCCAGCUAAGGUCCCAAAGUCACAGUUAAGUGGGAAACGAUGUGGGAAGGCUCAGACAGCCAGGAUGUUGGCUUAGAAGCAGCCAUCAUUUAAAGAAAGCGUAAUAGCUCACUGGUCGAGUCGGCCUGCGCGGAAGAUGUAACGGGGCUAAACUGUGCACCGAAGCUGCGGCAGCGACGCUUAUGCGUUGUUGGGUAGGGGAGCGUUCUGUAAGCCUGCGAAGGUGUCCUGUGAGGGAUGCUGGAGGUAUCAGAAGUGCGAAUGCUGACAUAAGUAACGAUAAUGCGGGUGAAAAGCCCGCUCGCCGGAAGACCAAGGGUUCCUGUCCAACGUUAAUCGGGGCAGGGUGAGUCGACCCCUAAGGCGAGGCCGAAAGGCGUAGUCGAUGGGAAACGGGUUAAUAUUCCCGUACUUGGUGUUACUGCGAAGGGGGGACGGAGAAGGCUAUGUUGGCCGGGCGACGGUUGUCCCGGUUUAAGCGUGUAGGCUGGUUUUCCAGGCAAAUCCGGAAAAUCAAGGCUGAGGCGUGAUGACGA